GUGGGGGUGGAGAUCAAGUCGGACGGUAUUGCCCUUAGUCGACCUUGGAGUCGGGUUGUUUGUGAAUGCAGCCCAAAGCGGGUGGUAAACUCCAUCCAAGGCUAAAUACUAGCACGAGUCCGAUAGCGAACAAGUACCGUGAGGGAAAGUUGAAAAGUACUUUGAAGAGAGAGUAAACAGUGCGUGAAACCGCUCAGAGGUAAACGGGUGGAGUUGAACUGUAAGCUCCGGGAAUUCAGCUGGUGAGUGUGUCAUGGGCUUGGUCAUUUUCGGCCGGCCUCUGGAGUCCGCUUAGCUGCGGGUCCUUGCUUCUUCGGGAGUAGGGAUGUGCGUUGCGCUUGUCAAGUGCUGUGCGCUCUGGAGGUUGCCGGGCUGGCUCGCCGGUGCACUUUCUCGGAGUGGUCACCACGACCGGCGUUGUUGUCUUGCUGCUGUGGUCGAACCGGCUGGGUUUGGUCCUUGUGGCUGAACUUGGUCGGGAUGGCAGGUAGCUCAUUGGUUGGCUUGUCCAGUCUUUGGGUGUAAUCAGCUGUCUGCAGUGGUAUUGUGCAAUGCGUCGGAGACUGCGGCUUUAGGUAUUUGCUUUCGUGCCGUUGGCUGGCAGUGUUGGGUUUGACUGGCGUGUUACCUGCUUCGGUGGGUCCGUCGGUAGCUCAGUGCUGUUCGGUUAGCGGUUGCUUAAGUGAUAUCGUACAUGGGCCCAUAGUCUGUGGUGUAGCAGCAAACGAUCCACCUGACCCGUCUUGAAACACGGACCAAGGAGUUUAACAUGUGCGCGAGUCAUUGGGCGUUACGAAACCCAAAGGCGCAGUGAAAGUAAAGGUUCGGCUUGUCCGAGCUGAGGUGAGAUCCUGUAGCUUCUCGUGCGAGGUACCACCAAGCAGUGAGCUAUGGGCGCAUCACCAGCCCGUCUCAUGGUGUGGUCAUGUAGCCUUGUGUUGCGUGCAUCACCGGGGCGGAGCCUGAGCGCACACGUUGAGACCCGAAAGAUGGUGAACUAUGCUUGCGCAGGUUGAAGCCAGAGGAAACUCUGGUGGAGGACCGCAGCGAUUCUGACGUG
rnacentral:rRNA from 1 species